rnacentral:rRNA from 1 species
GGUUAAGCGACUAAGCGUACACGGUGGAUGCCCUGGCAGUCAGAGGCGAUGAAGGACGUGCUAAUCUGCGAUAAGCGUCGGUAAGGUGAUAUGAACCGUUAUAACCGGCGAUUUCCGAAUGGGGAAACCCAGUGUGAUUCGUCACACUAUCAUUAACUGAAUCCAUAGGUUAAUGAGGCGAACCGGGGGAACUGAAACAUCUAAGUACCCCGAGGAAAAGAAAUCAACCGAGAUUCCCCCAGUAGCGGCGAGCGAACGGGGAGCAGCCCAGAGCCUGAAUCAGUGUGUGUGUUAGUGGAAGCGUCUGGAAAGGCGCGCGAUACAGGGUGACAGCCCCGUACACAAAAAUGCACAUGCUGUGAGCUCGAUGAGUAGGGCGGGACACGUGGUAUCCUGUCUGAAUAUGGGGGGACCAUCCUCCAAGGCUAAAUACUCCUGACUGACCGAUAGUGAACCAGUACCGUGAGGGAAAGGCGAAAAGAACCCCGGCGAGGGGAG